rnacentral:rRNA from 1 species
CCUACGGGUGGCAGCAGUGAGGAAUAUUGGUCAAUGGGCGGGAGCCUGAACCAGCCAAGUCGUGUGAGGGAAGACGGUCCUAUGGAUUGUAAACCUCUUUAGGCGGGGAGCAAUGCCGGGCACGCGUGCCCGGCGGGAGAGUACCCGCAGCAUAAGCAUCGGCUAACUCCGUGCCAGCAGCCGCGGUAAUACGGAGGAUGCGAGCGUUAUCCGGAUUUAUUGGGUUUAAAGGGUGCGUAGGCGGAUUUUUAAGUCAGCGGUAAAAUGUCCGGGCUCAACCCGGGCCGGCCGUUGAAACUGGUGAUCUUGAGUGGGCGAGAAGUAUGCGGAAUGCGUGGUGUAGCGGUGAAAUGCAUAGAUAUCACGCAGAACUCCGAUUGCGAAGGCAGCAUACCGGCGCCCGACUGACGCUGAGGCACGAAAGCGUGGGGAUCGAACAGGAUUAGAUACCCGAGUAGUC